AGAAUCAACGCUGGCGGCAUGCCUAACACAUGCAAGUCGAACGCUUCCGGGGCUUCGGUCGCGGAGGAGUGGCGCACGGGUGAGUAGCGCGUGGGAACCUGCCCUGUUGUGGGGGAUAACCGAGGGAAACUUCGGCUAAUACCGCAUACGCCCCGGGACUUGGUCUUCGGAUUAGGUCUGGGGGGAAAGAUUGAUCGCAGCAGGAGGGGCCCGCGUCGGAUUAGCUGGUUGGUGGGGUAACGGCUCACCAAGGCGAUGAUCCGUAGCUGGUCUGAGAGGAUGAUCAGCCACACUGGGACUGAGACACGGCCCAGACUCCUACGGGAGGCAGCAGUGGGGAAUAUUGGACAAUGGGGGCAACCCUGAUCCAGCAAUGCCGCGUGAGUGAUGAAGGCCUUAGGGUUGUAAAGCUCUUUCGCCCGCGACGAUGAUGACGGUAGCGGGAGAGAAGCCCGCUAACUUCGCGCCAGCAGCCGCGGU
rnacentral:rRNA from 1 species